GCGCCUGUGAUGUAAAGGCGUAGAGCAUUCCCGCCCGGUCAGAGGGAGGUGCGGGUUCGAGUCCCGCCUGGCGCU
rfam:Heligmosomoides polygyrus genome assembly, scaffold: HPBE_scaffold0006307